GACCUCUCGCCCCUCCUCAUCCUCCCAUGUGACGCCACAGCACGGGCGGGGACGCCGUUCGCCGAUGCUCGAGCGCCCAGGCCGUUCGCCGCCCAAGUGGUCCGCCGCACCGCCUCCCCCCAUCCUCCCGCGUCGUCGCCGCCCGCCGUUCUCUCCUCGCGUGUCUCCUGCCGCUUGCCCCACAUAGUGGUGCACCAUGGGUGCCAGCCAGAUCGAGCACGGGCUCUGCCUUCGUCGGCGGCGGCGGGGUUCCUCUCCUCCGCCGAGCAGCAGCGGCGGUGUGGGACGCAGCGGGAUCGGCCUGCCAGAGGGUCCUCUCCUCCGUCGAGCAGCGGCGUCCGCCCGGGACACAGCAAGCUCGGCGUGGCGAUGGAUUUCUCUGGCGGGUCAUUUGAAACCGCCGAUGUGCCGACGACUCCUCACCUAUGUUCCUCAAUCUGUAGCCGCGAGACACUGAAAGAGCCAUGGUUCUCUCUGUACAUAAAGAAAUCUUCUCAAUUUCAUGCUUCGAGGACGCGAGGAUGUGAAUCAACAUAGUGCAGAUGCCAAUAACAUGCAAAGAUGCCAAGGAAAGCCCUUCUGGAGGUUAGUGAGGAACUUACUAAAGGCACCAUGGAAUAUAUUGUUGUCGAGGAAGUAAAUGUUACUUAUGGACGAGUUAACGGAAUGCCAUUCUAAUUUUUACGACAUGAAUAUGUACUAUGUUUCCUAGAUGUUCACUUCAUAGCCUUUUCGUUGUAGGGGCAUUUUUAUUGCCUAAUUUGCUCCAUAAUUGAGUUGGGAAAAAUAGAUAACUUCAGAAUGUCAUCCAGUGAAUUAUGGAGAGUUAUUUAGAUUCAGAAUUGGUUUUCUGGAUCUGCUCGUAUGGGGAGUUAUUUAGAAAAGUUCAGAAUUGUUCCUUAUUUAAUCGUUAAGUACUCUCUGCUGAGGAUUUGUGUCUAUAAGUAUUAUUGCGCCAUGUGAUCGGGUUCCUUUUUUUAUCAGAAACAUUUCCACAACUUUAUUUUUUCAAAGUAAAUGUCGGAGAUUAGAGUCCAAUUACUGAACCCAAGGCAAAGUUUCAUUACUAUAUUUGUAUGUGAGCUCUGAGACAGACAGAUGCACUGCUGUCGAUAAAUGUGAGUUGUGAGGUAAGAUUGGUGAUUUUUUGGCUUUUGACCUUCUUGAGAGUACCUUCCUGAUGUUUUUUUUUACUGUGUUACGAGUAAAAGGUUCAGAGGAGUUUUGUCAAAUGCCACAACAUGCUUAUCAUCUCAUAGGCUGGUUCCUUCCCACCAUUGCACUUGUCCCGACUUCUUAUAUAGAAGAUGAUUUGGAAGUCCGAGAUAGAAUAUCAAUUACUGUAAUGCAGAUUACAUAUUAAGCAACUUCUGAAAGCAAGGACCAAGAGAAAUGUGGUCAGCUCUGUAAGAGUAAAGUGAUGUAAAAGCCUCUUUGAUUCAAGGAAUUUUUCAUACAAUUUUCUUUCUUCACGAAGUUUGAGGGCAUCUGCUUAGAAAACACAUAUUGAUGCUCUUUGACAUCUAUUUUAAACGCACCUUCUGUAAGUCGAUACACCAUUCUAUACAUUUCACUUGUUGUACUUCAA